rnacentral:rRNA from 1 species
GUCUGGUGGGUAGUUUGACUGGGGCGGUCUCCUCCUAAAGAGUAACGGAGGAGCACGAAGGUUGGCUAAUCCUGGUCGGACAUCAGGAGGUUAGUGCAAUGGCAUAAGCCAGCUUGACUGCGAGCGUGACGGCGCGAGCAGGUGCGAAAGCAGGUCAUAGUGAUCCGGUGGUUCUGAAUGGAAGGGCCAUCGCUCAACGGAUAAAAGGUACUCCGGGGAUAACAGGCUGAUACCGCCCAAGAGUUCAUAUCGACGGCGGUGUUUGGCACCUCGAUGUCGGCUCAUCACAUCCUGGGGCUGAAGUAGGUCCCAAGGGUAUGGCUGUUCGCCAUUUAAAGUGGUACGCGAGCUGGGUUUAGAACGUCGUGAGACAGUUCGGUCCCUAUCUGCCGUGGGCGCUGGAGAACUGAGGGGGGCUGCUCCUAGUACGAGAGGACCGGAGUGGACGCAUCACUGGUGUUCGGGUUGUCAUGCCAA